rnacentral:rRNA from 1 species
CGCUGGCGGCGUGCCUAACACAUGCAAGUCGAACGAAGCUCUGCGAUACAAGACUUCGGUCAAGUUGAACGGAUGACUUAGUGGCGGACGGGUGAGUAACGCGUGAGGAACCUGCCUUUCAGUGGGGGACAACAGUUGGAAACGACUGCUAAUACCGCAUAAUGUAUUCUGACCGCAUGAUCGGAAUACCAAAGAUUUAUUGCUGAAAGAUGGCCUCGCGUCUGAUUAGAUAGUUGGCGGGGUAACGGCCCACCAAGUCGACGAUCAGUAGCCGGACUGAGAGGUUGACCGGCCACAUUGGGACUGAGAUACGGCCCAGACUCCUACGGGAGGCAGCAGUGGGGAAUAUUGGGCAAUGGACGCAAGUCUGACCCAGCAACGCCGCGUGAAGGAAGAAGGCUUUCGGGUUGUAAACUUCUUUUGUCAGGGAAGAGCAGAAGACGGUACCUGACGAAUAAGCCACGGCUAACUACGUG